UAUCAGAUAGUUUAAAAUAAAACUUAAUGCUGAAGAUAUUAGAUUGGCUUGCCUCUGAUUU
rnacentral:tRNA from 1 species